rnacentral:misc_RNA from 1 species
GAAAUGCGAUAAGUAAUGUGAAUUGCAGAAUUCAGUGAAUCAUCGAAUCUUUGAACGCACAUUGCGCCCGCCAGUAUUCUGGCGGGCAUGCCUGUCCGAGCGUCAUUUCAACCAUCAAGCCCCCGGGCUUGUGUUGGGGACCUGCGGCUGCCCGCAGGCCCUGAAAACCAGUGGCGGGCUCGCUGUCACACCGAGCGUAGUAGCAAUCACCUCGCUCAGGGCGUGCUGCGGGUUCCGGCCGUUUAACAGCCUUACAAAACCCAAGGUUGACCUCGGAUCAGGUAGGAAGACCCGCUGAACUUAAGC